ACACACACACGCACACACACACAAACAAAGAGGCGUUAGGCUGAGACGCUGAAAGUCCGGAUUUAAAGUGCAGAAAAGGAAGCCAUUGAAUCUGCCUGUCCAUGACGUACAAAGACACACUAUGAGCCAGUAUGAUCCGACCAGACCUUACAUCAGCAUUGAGGAGUUGUCGGAGAAGAAAGAGGCUGAUUGAAGCGGGACAGAUGACAUGGAUCCAUCCUUCCACAGCCAGGAGCGCACCGACCUGUGUCCCACACUUCAUAUAAGACUGGAAGCUACACUGAUCUCACAGCUACACACCACAGACGUCUACACACUGGAGAAGAGUCCCACAAAGAAGUCAUGACCCAGAGGCUGCAGAGAAACAUUUCAAGCCUCAUCUGAGUUUUUGUACAAUAUUUUUGCUGUAUGUAAAUAAAGCUUUCACUCCACAUA